UGUGCAACCUACCUUAUAGUUUGGGAUAACUCCCGGAAACCGGGGCUAAUACCGAAUAAUCGAUUUUACUUCAUGGUGAAAUACUGAAAGACGGUUUCGGCUGUCACUAUAAGAUGGGCCCUCGGCGCAUUAGCUAGUUGGUGAGGUAACGGCUCAACAAGGCCACGAUGCGUAGCCAACCUGAGAGGGUGAUCGGCCACUGAGGCACUGAGACACGUCCUACACUCCUACGGGAGGCGGCAGUUUGGAAUCUUCCACAAUGCGCGAAAGCCUGAUGGAGCGACUCCGCGUGAGUGCAGAAGGUUUUCGGAUCGUUAAACUCUGUAGUAAGGGAAGAACAUGUACAGCACUUUCUGGUUGUACCUUGACGGUACCUUAUUACAAAGCCACGGCUAACUACGUGCCAGCAGCCGCGGAGGUACGUAGGUUGCAUGCGAUGUACGGAAUUAUUGGCCGCACGGGCGCGCCGGCGGUCCUUUAAGUCUGAUGUGAAACUUCACGCCUCAACCGCGGAGGGUCAUUGUAAACUGGGGGACUGGAGUGCAGAAGAGAAAAGUGGAAUUCCAGGUGUAGCGCUUAAAUGUCGUAGAGAUUUACCAGGAGCACCAGUGGCCAAGGUGGACUUUCUGGUCUGUAACUGACGCUAAGGCGUGAAAGCGUGGGGAGCCAACAGCAUUAGAUACUCUGCGUAGUCAACGCUGUAAAUUUUGAGGGCUAAGUGUUAGGUGGAUUUCCUCCCCGUUAAGUGCUGCAGUUAACGCGAUUUAACGCAGGUGCCGCCCGCGAGUAACGCUCGCAAUUAAUUAAAAAUUUAAAAGGAAGUCGACCGGGCAGGCCGCACUAAUCAGUGGAAUAAUGUGGAUUAAAUUCGGAAGCAACCUUAACAACCCUAACCAGGUCUUGGAAAUUCCAGUUGAGCACUGUUUAUAUUCAUGGGUGUUACCCUUCAGGAAAAGAGCGGGUACAGGCUGGUGCAUGCUCUGUCGCUCAAACAUGGUUUGUGUA
rnacentral:rRNA from 1 species